rnacentral:tRNA from 1 species
GGGGUUGUGACUCAGUGGGUAGAGUACUUGCCUCUGACUCAUGAGGCACUGGGUUCGAUCCUCAACACCA